GAUGAACGCUGGCGGCGUGCCUAAUACAUGCAAGUCGAGCGAACGGACGAGAAGCUUGCUUCUCUGAUGUUAGCGGCGGACGGGUGAGUAACACGUGGAUAACCUACCUAUAAGACUGGGAUAACUUCGGGAAACCGGAGCUAAUACCGGAUAAUAUUUUGAACCGCAUGGUUCAAAAGUGAAAGACGGUCUUGCUGUCACUUAUAGAUGGAUCCGCGCUGCAUUAGCUAGUUGGUAAGGUAACGGCUUACCAAGGCAACGAUGCAUAGCCGACCUGAGAGGGUGAUCGGCCACACUGGAACUGAGACACGGUCCAGACUCCUACGGGAGGCAGCAGUAGGGAAUCUUCCGCAAUGGGCGAAAGCCUGACGGAGCAACGCCGCGUGAGUGAUGAAGGUCUUCGGAUCGUAAAACUCUGUUAUUAGGGAAGAACAUAUGUGUAAGUAACUGUGCACAUCUUGACGGUACCUAAUCAGAAAGCCACGGCUAACUACGUGCCAGCAGCCGCGGUAAUACGUAGGUGGCAAGCGUUAUCCGGAAUUAUUGGGCGUAAAGCGCGCGUAGGCGGUUUUUUAAGUCUGAUGUGAAAGCCCACGGCUCAACCGUGGAGGGUCAUUGGAAACUGGAAAACUUGAGUGCAGAAGAGGAAAGUGGAAUUCCAUGUGUAGCGGUGAAAUGCGCAGAGAUAUGGAGGAACACCAGUGGCGAAGGCGACUUUCUGGUCUGUAACUGACGCUGAUGUGCGAAAGCGUGGGGAUCAAACAGGAUUAGAUACCCUGGUAGUCCGCGCCGUAAACGAUGAGUGCUAAGUGUUAGGGGGUUUCCGCCCCUUAGUGCUGCAGCUAACGCAUUAAGCACUCCGCCUGGGGAGUACGACCGCAAGGUUGAAACUCAAAGGAAUUGACGGGGACCCGCACAAGCGGUGGAGCAUGUGGUUUAAUUCGAAGCAACGCGAAGAACCUUACCAAAUCUUGACAUCCUUUGACAACUCUAGAGAUAGAACCUUCCCCUUCGGGGGACAAAGUGACAGGUGGUGCAUGGUUGUCGUCAGCUCGUGUCGUGAGAUGUUGGGUUAAGUCCCGCAACGAGCGCAACCCUUAAGCUUAGUUGCCAUCAUUAAGUUGGGCACUCUAAGUUGACUGCCGGUGACAAACCGGAGGAAGGUGGGGAUGACGUCAAAUCAUCGUGCCCCUUAUGAUUUGGGCUACACACGUGCUACAAUGGACAAUACAAAGGGCAGCGAAACCGCGAGGUCAAGCAAAUCCCAUAAAGUUGUUCUCAGUUCGGAUUGUAGUCUGCAACUCGACUACAUGAAGCUGGAAUCGCUAGUAAUCGUAGAUCAGCAUGCUACGGUGAAUACGUUCCCGGGUCU
rnacentral:rRNA from 1 species